UAUAUAUAUGUUCCAAGAAAAGAAAAGAAACAAAGAAAAGGGAAUGCAGUUGUGCCACAGAGCUGGCUGCAGAUGCCUUCCAGGCUGUUGGGAAAGAAUCGUCUUCACCUGCCCUUUCUACCAGGGGAGUAGACACUCCCCAAACUCACAGAUGGGUUUGUGGCUCAUCAGUUAACUGCAACCUGGUCCGGCCCAUGUGCUGAGAUGGUGUACUGCGGUGUAACUGCUAUGAACAUUAUGCAACAGGUGAGAGUUGAGUGGCAGGGGGACGAGGGGCCCUGAAAAAGGCUUGCUCAGCAAUCCCACCACAGGUACUAGUCCUCCUUGUCUACCCAUACACUUCUGUAGCAAUUAGCUACUGUCCGAUGUGGAGUCAGGAAGGCAAAUGUGACCUGAAACACUUACUAUCUGUAUGACCGUAGGCAAGUCACUUAACUCAAUAGAGUUACUGUGUGUAGCGGUGACUCAUUUGCUCAAGCUUGUCCUCUCAAAAGUAGCCACCAUAACUGAUGCCCAUUUAGGAUCCCUCUGCUAACAAGCUGGUUCCAGCCAGUGCUAUUAGGUAAGCUACAACUUAGAGAAAACCUAAAUAAUUUCUGAAGCAGACAAAAUAAUGAAAAGACGCAGAUCAAGGUGAAAGGGGUUACUUUUUAGAAGAAUUUGCUAGAAUGCCAAGCUAAUCGCAUUUCAUUUUUUGACAGGAUAACUAGAUUAGUGGAUCAGGGUGAUACCUGAGUCAGAGCAAGGCAUUUGACAAGCAUAAUGUCCUGGUGGACAAGCUAGAGAGAUGAAGGAGGGAUAUGUGUCAGUGAAUUCUGAACACACUGAAAGCAGGUCACCAAAGAGUGUUGAUAUAUGGAACAUCUAUUGGACACGAUCUCUACUCAUCAGAAGCUUACAUGCGGAAUGAAAUGGAAUUAAGAGAAGCUCCCAAAUGUAAAUUAACGGAAUAUUCAGAGGGAACUGAUCUCUGAAUAAUCCUAACAAUGAAUCUUACUCUCAGAGAAUAGAUACUGAACUAUCCUUUCAGAGGACCACAGCUGAGA
rnacentral:lncRNA from 1 species